UUUAUGUAUUCUUCACUUGGCCUUUGUUUUCUUCCCUUGCUCCUCUGUUUCUUUCAAUUUUUCCAUCGCUUCCUCUGUUUGCAGCGCUAUUUUGCCCUUUGCUUCCUCUGUUUACUACGCGUUUUUGUUAGCGGGACAAAAUUGCACCAUCUGUGAUGAUAUUGAUAAAAAAUGAAUCUGUGAAUUGGUAAGUUUUUGGGGAUAACUGCAGCCUGCAGAUUUUUUGAAUUCAGAAGAAAACACAAAUGAGGAGACGUAAAUCAAUUGGACUGGCCGAUAGUUUUGAGGUGAAUCAUGAAAGGGACAAAUGAGGUGAUGCAAAUCAAAUGUCGGUUUCUGCCAAUAUUUUUUGUUUUGAUAAGAAGUCAAUACAAUAGGGGCCAAAUAUCUCAUGAAAUCUCUCGACCUAUGAUCUUUACUACAUGUGAGAGAUUUUUGAAAAUAAAUUAUGAAGUGAAGAAUAUAAAAAGGCAAGAGGGAAGGACUCGUACUUUUCGAGUGCUUGAGAAUUCAUUGAAAGAUUUGUACUUCUUGAAUUAAUAGUUAACUAUGAAGUACCAUUCUUUUGAAUGUUUAGCUUCGUCUUUUUUUCAAUAUAAUUAAAUCAAAGAAAUUUCUUUAAUGUUUCUUUGACGGCAAAGGUAGAAUAGGAGAAUAAUGUUAUUGGUGAUGAUUAACACAAAUAAUGAUAUUUAUUGCGGAGACUAUCUUACUGUUGGAAAAGCUUAUUGAUGAUUUGCGGGAUCUGGCAAGGGUCAUGCAAAGGUAUUCUCUUUGAUUUAAACGUGCUAAAGUAUAUACUGCCUGAUCAAUUUGAUUUUACAAUGAUAAAUUAAAUCAGUUUGUUGUGGAGAUGUUUUUCACUCUUCUCUUCAAAGUUACAAUGGAAGCUCUUUUUAACCGUUAGCGUAGUAAUGCACGUGUCAAGAUAAUAUUUGACAUUUUUAUUUCGUUGUAUUUAUUGUGUAUAGUGUAGAAAGAAAUAUAUUGAAUUUGCUCUACUUUGCCUUAUGAUGAAUUUGAAAGAAUAACUUAAAUUUUUUUGAUCAAUAUAUAUUUGUAACUUCUUGCUAGCUUUCUUCUUUUUUCUAUUCUUUAAUAGUUCAAUGUUGUUUAUUUUUUAGUACUCAAGAAAAUACUUAGAAAUGAUAUUUAUCUUUCUCCUCCUUUUUUUCCUUUGAUGGAAUCACCCUCCAACCCCCUUUGCUAGGCAUCAUGGUCUUACUUUAGAAAAAGACCUAGACUACUUCAUAGGUUUAUUAACCACAAAACAUACAUAUAAUGUUACUUGGGACUUGAAAAGAACACAUGAAACUAAUUUGUGAUAUUGAUAAAGAUGAAUUUUUGGGCGAGUUUGUAGCCAUUUUAGUCCAUCUAAGAAAGAUGACAAUUAAAAAGUACUUGAACUAGGCGUUUGAAGUUUUCGAUAAAAAUCAAAAUAGUAUAUAAAAGUUGAGGAGUUAAAGAAGGCCUUAGAUGAUGAGCUUCAAGCUUACAAUUAAUAAGUAAUUGAUACUAUUAUACAAGAUGUGAAGACUGACGAGGUAAAUAUACUUUUGUUCUUAAAUUUUGUGUUUUAUGACGUGCUUUCUUGAUUUUUUACUGUGGAUUGAAAAACAAGAAAAUGUUUGGUCAUGCAAUAUGUUUUAUGUGCUGACAUUUCAUAUUCUUGCAGGGUGUGUACAGAUAAAUUACUACAAAUUCUUUGACAUUUUCAUGGGAAAAAAUGAAUGGGCGAGGAAGAAGUAAAAAGAAGAAAAAUAAAAGAAAUUAUAAUUUUGCCUAAAAGAUAAGUUGGAGUGUUGGACUACAAUUUAAAAUAUAAUAUAUUUGGACUUGAGAAUUAAUAUCUUUUUAAUUAUUACAAAAAAAAUAAUAAAAAAUUCGGCGGACAGAUUUACUUGUUCAUUUAUAAAAAGCAACGCUUCCAAUUAAAUUAUUUCAUUUUCAGUAGCUCGAAUUCAAAAUGGGUAUGUUGCAUUUUUUAUUUUAUUUUUUUGGUUUCUUACGUGUUCCAUUUCUCUCUCUAACACGCUCUUCUCUCUCCUACCUCCUUCGUCCCCCAUUUCUAUUCUCCAUUACUCAGAAACAGGGGUCAAGGUUAACCCGAUUUUAAAAUUUCAUAUCCGACCCGUUUCCCUGCAAAAUCACCCGGACUUCCAAUACAUGAUGCCCUAGCUCUUGGUGGGCAUCAUCAUCUGCAACAGUUCCUCUUUUUUUUUCUUUAAUAUCUUGAAAAAAUCAACAUUUGGGGAUUGUACCAGUUGGUCCCAAUUUAGUUGAUUCCUCAAGAAUUAGAGAAAAUUGGUGGGUGCCUACUCAUUGCAAAUUUAUGAACCCUAGCUUGUUAUGCUCAAUUUUUAAAUUUGGUGAAGAUUUUGUUUAAUUGGAGAAAGACCCAGAUGCCAGGAGGCUUUGGAGAUUUGGAUGAAAGGGGUUCAAAUGAAGCCAAAUGGGUGUUGAAGAGUUCAUAUAAUUGACACCAAUUAGCUUUGAAUUGAAGUUUAGUGAUCGAUUUGCCCAUGUAUGGAUCCGUCAUUGUUGAUCUUAUCUUUAGGUUUCUGCUUUUGCUUCCUUGCUCUAGCCGUGCAAUCUCAGCAAAAUGUGAGUCCGGGAUCACAAUCAGUUCCUCCGCCGUCUAAGCAAUCUCCACCGCCUCCACCAUCACCACGGCCUCCUCUGCCAUCCCAGCAAAGACACCAUCCUCCACCACCACCAAAAUCUGUGCAUUCUGCUCCGAAAACGACGACCACGGAGAGUAAACAUUCUAACCAUGAUAAAAACCACCAUAAAUCUCACGAUAAAUCUCCUCCACCAGCAAAGAAAAAGAAGCCAAAUUUGGGGAAGAAACUGGGGUUAAUGUUUGUGGGUGUUGCUGCGAUCUUGCAGGUGUGUGUGGUGGCGUUCUUGCUAAUAAAGAGAAGACAAUUGUUAAAGGCUGAUAGUAGAUUUUGAAGAAACAUUUGAAUAUGGAUGUAUAUCAGCUCCCAUUUGUUUUAGUAAAUCUCUUUUGAUGGAAUAGCAGUUAGUCUAAUUAAUUCAGAUUUUUAAGAGAGCGCUUGGCAAUGAGCACGGCAUCGAUGAUUUAGAAGGAUUAAAGAUUCAGCUGAAAUGUUGAUUUCUGCAUUUGCAUUGGUGGCUACUGUAAAUUUGGUCUCAAAGUUGUUGGAUGAUAUCUUGCUUCCUUUGUCAAUUUUAAGGAACUGUCUUGGAUUUGUUACGUCUUCUCUGUCCGGUAAGUAAAGACUGUUGUAGGGAAACAAGCAUACUGUUGAUGAAGGCAUGACCUGUCAUCAUCGAAACUGAAAUAUGAUUUCUAAUGUAGAGGUUAAACACUAUAAAACUCUUUUAAUUGUUGGUAUAGUCUAACUGUUGUAUCUGAUAUGAAAACUUACUAAUACACUGCCAAAAUAAUAUCUACCUUGAUUCUUGAAUAAUGUUGCUUUAUUGGGUUAUAACAUCUACUCCAAAAAACAUAUCUCUUAAGUUGAAUGUUCAAAAACAUGAAAUGCGAUGCUUGGACCA